AGCAGGUCAAGGAGGAUGCCGAAAAUACACUAAGAUCCUCAUCAGACAAUGUCUUUAAAUGUAACUCCAUUGAAGACGAGGGCCUCUACUAUAGAACUUGGAAGAAAAACAGUUCCCUCUGUGGUAGUGUUCAAUUACUCUCCUGCCUCAUGGAAACAUUGGGAUUCUCAUCUACAGAGCUGGAAGCGUGCAUGUUUUCUUAUUUCUCCUGAUGCCUUUUCAUUGUGAUGCUUUUGGAAUCUCUACAGAAGCGUAGCUUUAAGCAAGCUAGACAAGAGCUGGCUCACAUUCAAAUUGAGAUGAGAAGAAAUGGACUUUUUGAACUCUGUAUAUGAGAAGAAGCAUCUAUCAACAGCACAUAACUGAUUUGGAAAUUUCUCCUCUUGGAGGUCCCACACCCUGACAAAAAUCAUUCUUUCCACUGUCAAUCAAUCUAGGAAGACUAACAGUAGAAAGCAGAAUAAAUUUCAUGGAUGAGAU
rnacentral:lncRNA from 1 species